rfam:Myotis lucifugus cont2.13224, whole genome shotgun sequence.
GGUGGUUCUCAGGUGAUGCACCUUAGAAUUGGGCUUCCUCCUCUCUUGUUCUGGGGUUUGUCACCCGAGAACCACC